rnacentral:rRNA from 1 species
AUACGUAGGGGGCGAGCGUUGUCCGGAAUGAUUGGGCGUAAAGGGCGCGUAGGCGGCGCGGUAAGUCUGGAGUGAAAGUCCUGCAUUCAAGGUGGGAAUUGCUUUGGAUACUGCCGCGCUUGAGUGCAGGAGAGGUUAUCGGAAUUCCCGGUGUAGCGGUGAAAUGCGUAGAGAUCGGGAGGAACACCAGUGGCGAAGGCGGGUAACUGGACUGCAACUGACGCUGAGGCGCGAAAGUGUGGGGAGCAAACAGGAUUAGAUACCCUGGUAGUCCACACUGUAAACGAUGAAUGCUAGGUGUAAGAGGUAUCGACCCCUUUUGUGCCGGAGUUAACACAAUAAGCAUUCCGCCUGGGGAGUACGGCCGCAAGGUUGAAACUCAAAUGAAUUGACGGGG